GAACGAACGCUGGCGGCGCGUCUUAAGCAUGCAAGUCGAACGGCAAGAUUAGUGCUUGCACUAAUCCUAGAGUGGCGGACUGGUGAGUAACGCGUGGGUGACGUACCCUUCUGAUGGGGAUAGCUACUAGAAAUAGUAGAUAAUACCGAAUACGAUUCCGUAAGUUAGAGGUGCGGAAUGAAAGGAGCUUCGGCUCCGCGGAAGGAACGGCCCGCGUACCAUUAGCUAGUUGGUGUGGUAACGGCAUACCAAGGCGAUGAUGGUUACCCGGCCUAAGAGGGUGAUCGGGCACAUUGGGACUGAGAUACGGCCCAGACUCCUACGGGAGGCAGCAGCUAAGAAUAUUGGUCAAUGGACGAGAGUCUGAACCAGCCAAGUAGCGUGAAGGAUGACUGCCCUAUGGGUUGUAAACUUCUUUUGUUUGGGAAUAAAGUGAGGGACGUGUCCCUUUUUGUAUGUACCAUUCGAAUAAGCAUCGGCUAAUUCCGUG
rnacentral:rRNA from 1 species